AGGUGGGGCAAAUAGUAUGAGCAGGUUGAUAGAGACUCAUAUAUAGAGCCUGCCUGCUAGAUCUGUUGGGGGAGGGCUCAUCAAAGGAACAAUGGCCUCUGCCAACCCUUCUUUCCGGGAGAAAGCUG